UCCUUGGUGGUCCAGUGGUUAAGACGCUGUGCUCCCAAUGCAGGGGGCAUAGGUUCAAUCCCUCGUCAGGGAA
rnacentral:tRNA from 1 species